UACGAAGGGGGCUAGCGUUGCUCGGAAUCACUGGGCGUAAAGCGCACGUAGGCGGAUCGUUAAGUCAGGGGUGAAAUCCUGGAGCUCAACUCCAGAACUGCCUUUGAUACUGGCGAUCUUGAGUUCGGGAGAGGUGAGUGGAGCUGCGAGUGUAGAGGUGAAAUUCGUAGAUAUUCGCAAGAACACCAGUGGCGAAGGCGGCUCACUGGCCCGAUACUGACGCUGAGGUGCGAAGGCGUGGGGAGCGAACGGG
rnacentral:rRNA from 1 species